rnacentral:rRNA from 1 species
UAGUCGCAAGACCAAAGAGGGGGACCUUCGGGCCUCUUGCCAUCGGAUGUGCCCAGAUGGGAUUAGCUAGUAGGUGGGGUAACGGCUCACCUAGGCGACGAUCCCUAGCUGGUCUGAGAGGAUGACCAGCCACACUGGAACUGAGACACGGUCCAGACCCCUACGGGAGGCAGCAUG